rnacentral:rRNA from 1 species
CCCGCACAAGCGGUGGAGCAUGUGGUUUAAUUCGACGCAACGCGAAGAACCUUACCUGGGCUUGACAUCUGGGGAAUCUCAUGGAAACAUGGGAGUGCGGAGCAAUCUGAACCCCAAGACAGGUGCUGCAUGGCUGUCGUCAGCUCGUGUCGUGAGACGUUGGGUUAAGUCCCGCAACGAGCGCAACCCUUGUCUCUAGUUGCCACCAUUCAGUUGGGCACUCUAGAGAGACUGCCGGUGAUAAACCGGAGGAAGGUGGGGACGACGUCAAGUCCUCAUGGCCUUUAUGCCCAGGGCUACACACGUGCUACAAUGGAUCGUACAAAGGGUCGCGAACCCGCGAGGGGGAGCCAAUCCCAAAAACCGGUCCUCAGUUCGGAUUGCAGGCUGCAAUUCGCCUGCAUGAAGUCGGAAUCGCUAGUAAUCGCAGGUCAGCAUACUGCGGUGAAUACGUUCCCGGGCCUU